GUGCUGAUUCAGCAACACAUAUACUAAAAUUUGAACAAUACAGAGAAGAUUAGCAUGGCCCCUGAGUAAUGAUGACGUGCAAAUUCAUGAAGCCCCAUAUUUUU
ensembl:snRNA U6 U6 spliceosomal RNA